rnacentral:misc_RNA from 1 species
AUCCAGCCCGGUUUGAGUGCAGCUCUUCUUCUUUUUUGCUAAAAAGAAAAAAACGGGAACGGAAGACGGAUCAAGC